rnacentral:lncRNA from 1 species
GAGAACAAAAUAUUAAAGGUGAAACAGAGUAUUUAUGAGAGUUAUUUUGGUAGGGGAAGAAAAAAACAAGGUGAGUUGAUUUGUCAAAGAAAUGAUAGAAAAAUAAAACAUGAAUUUUGAGAGAGUGGUGAAAUCUCUGAAAACGUUGAUAUCUACCUUUCUUUUUCAUUAUCCUUUUCCAUUUGUGAAUGAAGUGGAGAGAGA